ACGGGAGGCAGCAGUGGGGAAUAUUGGACAAUGGGGGAAACCCUGAUCCAGCGACGCCGCGUGAGUGAAGAAGUAUUUCGGUAUGUAAAGCUCUAUCAGCAAGGAAGAAAAUGACGGUACCUGACUAAGGAGCCCCGGCUAACUACGUGCCAGCAGCCGCGGUAAUACGUAGGGGGCAAGCGUUAUCCGGAUUUACUGGGUGUAAAGGGAGCGUAGACGGUUUGGCAAGUCUGAAGUGAAAUGCGGGGGCUCAACUCCUGAACUGCUUUGGAAACUGUCGAACUAGAGUGCAGGAGAGGUAAGUGGAAUUCCUAGUGUAGCGGUGAAAUGCGUAGAUAUUAGGAGGAACACCAGUGGCGAAGGCGGCUUACUGGACUGUAACUGACGUUGAGGCUCGAAAGCGUGGGGAGCAAACAGGAUUAGAUACCCUGGUA
rnacentral:rRNA from 1 species